rnacentral:rRNA from 1 species
UACAGAGGGGGCAAGCGUUGUUCGGAAUUACUGGGCGUAAAGGGCGCGUAGGCGGCCUUCUAAGUCGAACGUGAAAUCCCCGGGCUCAACCCGGGAACUGCGUCCGAUACUGGAAGGCUUGAAUCCGGGAGAGGGAUGUGGAAUUCCAGGUGUAGCGGUGAAAUGCGUAGAUAUCUGGAGGAAUACCGGUGGCGAAGGCGACAUCCUGGACCGGUAUUGACGCUGAGGCGCGAAAGCCAGGGGAGCAAACGGG